rnacentral:lncRNA from 1 species
AAUCUUCUAUCUACUUUCUAAAAACAAAUAAAAUGAAAAAUCCACAAAAAAGAAAUGAAAAGGACUAGAAAGAGAGUGAAUAGCCGUAGCUGAGCUGAACCCCUAGUUACACUACUAAGUCUUUGUUAUCGUCGGGACGAUAGAACCUGAACUCAGACCACCAGUAUAAUCAUCGGGUUCUUCAAGAUAAGUGACUAAUCUCCAUCAAUCGCUAGCUUGAGCUUUUUGUUUAGCAAUUUCUAUGAUCUCUUAUAAUUUAUCAAUCUUCUGGUAGUAAUCACUAAGGCAACCUCACAAUCUCUUAUAGGUGGCAUGAUUUCUGUCCCAAAAAGAAGUCUUCUUCAAGAGUGAUAACUUCAGAGUGUAGAUCUACUACUUCUCCAGGUACUCUAGCUAGUAAUGUAUAUAUUUAUGGUCUGUGAGAGAUUCUAGUUGUUUCAUACUAGUGUUCCAUUGAUUGUUGAUUUUUUCUUGGUGGGAUGAACCUCGUAUGAAGUUGAUACCACCACCAUAGGAAUCCUCAACUACUUUACGAAUACUCACUGUAUGAAACUAUGUCAUGGUUGUAUUGUAUUCUAGGUGAAUUUGCAAAUUUCCUGCUUGACUGACUAAUUUAUUGUUCUACUCUGAAAAUGUCCUGUCGUAAGCCUUGUUGUGAUUUCUCUUUCUGAUGAUCUUAUGGAAAUAAAUUCCAUCUUGUUUUCCUGUUUUCCUAGUUUCCUUAUUACUGAGCAACUCCAUCUAUAAUCCUCACAUAAGGGAUAUAAAGCUUAUCAUACAACAGCAUUAGUUGUGCUUUUUGUGGAAGCUCUUACAUAUUGUUGUAUUUAACAGUGUUUGUAUCUGUGCCAAUGUUUGUAUCUGUACCUACAAAAUGAACAACAUUGUUAGCUAAAAAGCCUGCCAGCUGAUUUCCUUCUCUGUAAUUGUGCUUAAUCUGCAUCACCCUUUUCUGUUUCCUUUUAUUUAUUAAUCUUACUCCUCUGCUUAGGAUCCAUGGGCAAUCCCAAUCUCCAUUUAUUAUUUUCUACAUAGCCAAUGAAUCUGUUUCUACUGCCUCACACAAUGAUCCACUUCUUCUUCAAUAGCAAGAGCCUCUGCAUGUAUACACUUAGUUCUAGGUAUGAUUUUGGCUUUAGCAUAAACCAAGUCCCCAUCACUGUUUCUAAUACAAAAUGCCAAAGAACUAAUAUUGCUAUUAGAACAAGCAUCUAUAUUACAUUUAAAGGUUCCUGUAGGUGGAAAGUCCCACUUCACUAAUCUGCAUUCUCUCCUACCCACAUGCUUGUGCCUUUCCAGUCCCUCAGUCAAUUGUGUCUAAUUAUUAGGAAGAUCUGAGAUUGAUGAAAAUCUCAACUUUGCCAAUAGUUACAAAUUUUGAUUGAUCUCAUUUAUUACCUUGUGUUUUGUCAUUGUACGACUAUGGAGAAUACAAUUUCUUUUUUUCCAGAGUUUCCAUAAAAUUAUUGCUGGAGCUACCUGGAUAAGUGUGUUAAUAUUAAGACCAGUUUCAGCUUUCCACUAGAUAGAAAUGACAUUGUUAAGUUGUGUAGGAUUUUAUUGAAUACCUGCUGCACCUGCAUAUAGUCUCCAAAUUCCUUUAGCAAAUUCACCAGUUAGGAAUAAAUGUUUCAUGUCCUCAAUUUGAUGAUUAUCACAACACCUACACCUUGAAACUAAAUUCAGUCCAUUUCUAGCCAAUAUGUCAUCUACUCGCAACUUUUUCCUCCACACUCUCCACAUUAAAAAAAAGAUCUUGAAAGGUAAACCUUUCAUCCACAUCUACUUAAGGAACCAUUGUUUAUCUUCCUUAUGCUUUAUAGCUUCCCAAGCACUUUUGAUUGUAAAUCUACCAUUACUGGUAAUCAACCACCAAGGUUUGUCUCUAUUUUAAGACUGCAAUCUCUUAGGAUAUUCCUCAAGUAUGUACUUUACCAAAGAAUUAGGUAAAUGUUGAGCAAGCAAUUCUUCAUUCCACCUUUCAUUCUGAAAGCAAUGUUUUACUUCUACUUUAUUAGUUCCCUGCUCGAUUGGCACAAGUUGAUGUAAAGGACCUAACUUGGACCAAUUAUCAUACCAAAAGCUUGCUGAGCCAUUCUUUGGUUCCCACCAAAUAUUGUGCUCCACUUCAUCUCUUGCUUAUGAAACCGUGCUUGGAAUUUUCUUCUUGCAAUAAUUAUUCCACAUAAAAGUGGAUCACAGAGUGCCCGAAGUUCUGAAAUUCCAUCAUAAUUUGGAAAAUAAAGCAUUCGAAAUUUUAAAUAAAGAUCUGAAUCCCAUACCUCCUUCAUCUGUUGGUGGACAUAGUUUUAACCAAGAAGCCUAGUGUCUGCUCCUGCCUUCUUCCUUAUUACUCCCAAAAACCUAGCGAUCCUAUGUACUUCUUAUAUGGUAUAUUUGGUAUGGUCCAUAGCAGAUAAUAGAUAUAAAGGCAUACUAUGUAGAACAUUGUUUAUCAAAACAGCCUUACCUCUAUUUAAGAGUAACUUUCCUUUCCAACUCUACAGUUUAGCUUGAUCUUUUUAAUAAGAUCAUUAUAGAAAACUAUCUUCUUUCUAGCAUGAAAAAUAGGACAUCCCAAAUAUUUGAAUGAAAUAUUACCCCUUUGAAAUCCUGUAACUGAAGUCACCUCCUGAACAAGUGUAUCUGCCACCUUUUGAUACAAGUAGGAAAAAGUCUUAUAAACAUUAAUCAUAUAGCCAGAGAUCUUCUAAUAUUCAUGCAAAGUAUUCCUGAUCAUCUUCAUAGUUACUGAAUAAGCAGAAGUAAAAAUAGUGGUAUCAUCUGCAUAAGUAAGAUAAUUGAUCUUGUCACUCACUUAGGCAUGCCAAAUCGCUUAUACUUGUUAUCUUCCUUUAAAGCACUAAGAGCUCUAGUCAGUACUUCAGCAGAUAUAAUAAACAAAGCAGGAGACAAUGGAUCCCCUUGCUUUACUCCUCUAUUUGAAUAAAAGAAACCCUUUGAUCUCCCAUUAAACAAAAUGGAAUACCAGUUGUUGGCUAACAAUCUCCAAAUCAUGUCUAUGAAUUUCUCAUUGAAUCCCAUUCUUCUUAGAACUCUGGUGAGAAAUAUCCAUGAUAAUCUAUCAUAUGCUUUGGCCAUGUUCAGCUUUAUCACCACAUUAGACGGCUUCCCCCUUAAUCUGAUAUCAGAACUAUCUUUUGAGUCAAUAGAAUAUUUUAAAUAAUGCUUCUUCCCUUAACAAAACCUGUUUGAUUAGGAGAUAUGAUUUGUGACAACAAACCCUCUAAUCUGCCAUGAAUAACUCUAAAAAUCACUUUGUUAAUGAAAUUACUCAAACUGAUAGGUCUGAGAUCUGCAAAUGUAUCUGUAUUUUCCUUCUUAGGUAACAAUACAAGAUUAGUGUGUGUGAUUGUCCUAGGAAGUGUAUGACCUUGAAAAAAGGCUUGCACCACUUUAACAACAUCUUCCCCUACUAUAUCACAACAUGUCUGGUAAAAUUGACCUGGCAAACCAUUCGGACCACUUGUAUUGCUUCCAUUCAACUUAAAAACAACCUUUUUUAUUUUUCUCAUAUCUGGACCCAUACAUAACUGAUCAUUUGUAUCCACAGUGGUCAUGGUAGGCACAUGAUCCAAAAGAGAAAAUUCAUUAUAUUCCUUUACUUGAGAAAACUGUUUAUGAUAGAAUAAAAUAGUUUCCCCAGCCAUUAAGUCCUCUUAUUCAAGCCAUUGACCAUCAGUGUUCUGAAUUCUUUUAAUCUAAAUCUUUUUCUCCUUCCUUUCAUAAUUGUGAAAGAAUUUUGUGUUUCUAUCACCUUCUGUGAACUAGCUGAGGCCAGAAUUUUGUCUCUAAAAAUCUUUCUUAAAGUGCAGAUAUCUUUUCAAUUCAGCUUGAGCCUUUUGAAGUAUCUCCUUGUUAAUAGAGGAAGGUUGUUCUUUUAAUUGACUAUCUCUUCCCUAAUAUUCAAUUCCUUGAAUAUGUCUCCAAAAGUAUCUCUACUCCACUUAGACAAAGCCUUUUUAACUCUCUUGAUUUUCUGAUUAAAUUUAUGGAAACAAUUGCCUUCACUGUCCCCCAUUCAGUUAUUCCUUACCACAUCCAUAAACCCCUCAUUUUCUGUCCAGAAUGACAGAAACUUAAGGUUUGAAAACCUGUUGCAUCUGUUUCUGCAUUAUAAUCAACAUUGGGGCAUGAUCAGAACCAGUUCUAGACGAAUGCUCCAUUUAUAUGUCUACAUACCAAUCUUGCCACUGUUGACUAAUCACUACUCUGUCUAACCUUUUGAAGAUGCAGACUGGACCUAUUCACCAUUUUACCAAGUGAAGAGACUGCCUUUAAAAUUAAUUCCAAAUAAUUCACAAAAGUUCAUACAAAAGGAAAAAUCCUCAUAUUCAUUUUGUGGAAUAGGAAAUCCACCUAUUUUUCCUCUUCAUUCAUAAUGACAUUGAAAUCUGCUCCCACCAGCCAAGGAGAAUUCAUUGUGCCAGCCAAGUUGUAAAUAGAAUCCCACAAUCUGAGUCUUUCAUUGUCAUUGUAUUUGGCAUAAACUAAAGUAGUGUAACACAUACUGUCAGAGCAUGUUAAUUCAGAGUGAUUUAUUGAGUAUUAUCAGCUGUAAUAUCCACAAAAAUAGUAUCAUCAACAAGAUACCAGAUUUUGCCAUUUGUGUUAGAUCCUGCUUGAAUUAUACCCAAUUUUCUCUUGUACUUGUUGAUAUGAUUGGCUCUCUAAAAAGGCUCCAAAAGAGCAAUUAAACUGAAUUUGUGAUGUUUAUGCAACAUGUGUACUCUAUUAAAAGCUUUAUGAUUUUUAACAGAUCUAAUGUUCCAAAUUAUUGUUUUCAUCAUUGAUUAUGACUGAUUUUGGUGGCAGCCCCUCUUGUAAGAACCCUUGAAGGGUUCUGACUAGCUGAUGCAUCCUGUUUCCUGAUCUUUUUUCCCUUACCAGAUUUGCUACCAUUAUCAGCUGUUUUGCUUGAUUUACUAUCCUGCACGUCCUUUUAUACCGUUGUCAGUUCCUCAACACUUAAUUUUUGUGUAACUAUAUUAUGAAGCUUUCUAUUCGGAGAAUCCUCUUUAUGAGAGCUACUAUUAAUUUGCUGCAACUGUUCCUGUCCGGUAUCAAUCAUCUUACUACUCUGAACAGCUUAAAUGGGGCUUAUGUUCAUAGGAGCCAAAAUAGCUUAUGUUCAUAGGAGCCAAAAUAAUCUCCCUGAAUAUAUUGUCAAUUUCUCCAUUCCUUGCUCCCUCUACCACCCUUUUUUCUGACAUCAUUUCCCCUUCUUCCAUAUCUUCUUCUUUGUCCUCCACUCUAUCCCCCCAUUUAUUAGAAUCGAAACUGGGAGAAUGCAUUUUUCUUAUCUUCUCAAUUGAAUUGAACUGCACUGAACUUGUCCCUCCAUUGGUUACCAUAUUUUCCUUGUUUGUGUCCUUACUAUUGGUGCUUUUAUUUUGACUUUUACCUUUAAGCUUUGCAAAUUUUGUGCUCUGAGGUGUGCGUAAGACUGAGUAAUCUUUGUGGAUCACCUUCUCAUUUUGUUUUUUUUUGCAUCUACAACAUCUUUCUCUGCCUCAUCCUUUUAUACCUUAUAUGCCAGUUCUUUAAAUUCAUUACUAGUAGUUACUCCAUUAUUUGUUGUUGGUUGAUUAUUUGGGAUUUGAGAGAUAUUCAGCAUGUCUAAAUUACUAUUCUUAUUUUUGAUUUUUUUCAAGGUUUCCAAAUCCUAAACAAUCUUCCCACUUGCUAAUUGUUUUGGUGUAACCAACUUUCCCUGCCGUUGUUGCCGUUGUUUUUUAUAAUUAUGCUGCUGGAUUUGAGGAUUAUUCUACUGAUGCUUUUUUUUGGAGAUGUUUCACCUUCACUAUCAUCUCCACCAUGAUCUGUUGGUGUUUUUAAUUCCUGAUGCAACACCUAAAAAUUCUCUAUACAAUGACCUUAAAGAUUGCACUCAAAGCAGUACUUAGGCAAGUGAUCAUAUCGUAUUUUGACUUUAAUAUUCUUACUAGCCCCUGACUCUUCAUUACAAAUUUCCAUGUUAACCCACCUGGGAAGAUUUUCUUUGAGAUUAAUUAAAACUUUGACUCUAGCACAACUGUGUCAAGUUUUAUUUAUUGUUGCCAUAUCUAAGUGUAGUGGCUUGCCAACUGCAAAUGCAAGAGAGAAAAGAGUUUCUUUGCCAAAAAAAGUUGGGUUAAGAUUGGGAAAGGAUAUCCAGGCUAAUGCCUAUGUAUUUUCCCAAAGUUGAGAAAAGCUCUACCUUCUCUGUCUUUUAUGUAGUAUGAGUUCUUAGCCAUUAGAUUAACAAAAUCCUCCAUUAAUGAGCACCUAAUCAGAAUAUGCCUGUUUCUAAGAACUCUUAUUUGACAAGCUCAUUUUAUACCAAUUUGACUAGGCAGUCUUUUCCUUAUGUCAUCAAUACGAGGCCAUCCUUGGGAAAAUUUCCUAAUAAUUGCCAGAAGUAGGUUCUCAAUUACAUUCAUCUCUGAAACUUCCUCUUCAGUCCAUCCCACACAAGGAACUACAUCAGUUAUUUCAACUGUUUUGGUGGGAAUUGGUUCCACAUUAGUAUUAUUGGGGAUAAAACCUUGAUUGGGCCUUUGGGGUUUGAAGAGAUCUCCAUAUUUUUUGUUGCUAUGAAUAGGAGAUUUUACACUAUCAUCUUCUAUGUUAUGGGAGGCAUGUCGAUUGGAGAGUAGGGGAAAUUCAGUAUUUGUACUUUGGAUGGCUUAUGUUCCGGCUUUUGACGGACAUUUUACAGCUUUUUCAAGAGAUAAUUGUAUGUUUUCUAGCAAAUAAUGUUGUAUUUAAUACUGGAUUUUAGUGUUUUAAGGUCAAGGAGUUAGCUGAAGAAGAAACCUAGAAAAGUAGGCCACUGACCGUUAAACUGGUGGACCGCCAGCCAUGCGACGGACCGUUAGGGUGACCGUCAGAGUUAAACAGAAGGAACAAGGGAGUGACUCAUGCGAUGGUCCAAGUGACGGACCAUCAACUUGGCCGUCAGGCUGAAACAGAGAAUGGCUUUUCGGAGGAUCAAGCGUCGGUCCACGUGAUGGACCGCCAGUUCAGCGAUGGUCUGCCAACAUGACCGUCAACCCUUAACCAGAACGAAGCACUUUAGGACCAUCAGUGACGUACCUUCAUGUUUCCUGGGAAUAUAUAAAUACCCAGUUUAUGUUUUAUUUAGGUAUCUUUUAUCAUAUUUCCAUCUAGAAAACCUUAUUGUAACGUAGUAUUCUCUGAGAUUCAACUAAAAUUGUGGAUCUAGUCAUUUUAUUCUUAUUCUCACUGAAGAUUCAGGAACAAUUCUUGUGAUUUGUUUAAGUAAAUCCUGAAUUCAUUUAUGUAGAACACUAUGAUCCC